GACGAACGCUGGCGGCGUGGAUUAGGCAUGCAAGUCGAACGGUAUCAUCCUUUCGGGGGUGAGAGAGUGGCGAACUGGUGAGUAACACGUAGGUUAUCUACCCUCAAGACGGGGACAACCCAGGGAAACUUGGGCUAAUACCGGAUGUGAGCAACUUUUAGUUGUUUGAAAGGUGGCGUAAGCUGUCGCUUGGGGAUGAGCCUGCGUCCUAUUAGUUAGUUGGUGAGGUAACGGCUCACCUAGGCAAUGAUAGGUAGGCGGCCUUAACAGGUGGUCGCCCACACUGGGAUUGAGAUACGGCCCAGACUCCUACGGGAGGCAGCAGUCGAGAAUAGUCUACAAUGGUCGGAAGACUGAUAGUGCGACGCCGCGUGAACGAUGAAUCCCUUCGGGGUUAAAGUUCUUUUAUAUGUGAGCAGUGCUUCUUAUAUUAACAGUAUGGGGAAGAGAUAUUAGCAUAUGAAUAAGCAACGGCUAACUCCGUGCCAGCAGCCGCGGUAA
rnacentral:rRNA from 1 species